UGAUGCACUAGUGGCGCAGUGGCUAACGCGCUCGCCUGUCAUGCGGGAGGUCGCGGGAUCGACCCCCACUGGAUCAA